CAGCCGCCGCGGUAAUACGAAGGGGGCUAGCGUUGUUCGGAAUUACUGGGCGUAAAGCGCACGUAGGCGGAUAUUUAAGUCAGGGGUGAAAUCCCGCAGCUCAACUGCGGAACUGCCUUUGAUACUGGGUAUCUUGAGUAUGGAAGAGGUUAGUGGAAUUGCGAGUGUAGAGGUGAAAUUCGUAGAUAUUCGCAGGAACACCAGUGGCGAAGGCGGCUAACUGGUCCAUAACUGACGCUGAGGUGCGAAAGCGUGGGGAGCAAACAGGAUUAGAGACCCCCGUAGUCCCUGUCUCUUAUAC
rnacentral:rRNA from 1 species